ACAUAAAGCUGUUUAAUAUGACCUGCUUCCUAAUCUGGGUGCCGCAUGUUCGAGUCAUGCCGGGGGCACCA
rnacentral:tRNA from 1 species